rnacentral:rRNA from 1 species
AUACGGAGGGUGCAAGCGUUGUUCGGAAUCACUGGGCGUAAAGCGUACGUAGGCGGAUUUUUAAGUCAGAAGUGAGAGCCCAGGGCUCAACCCUGGAACUGCUUUUGAAACUGGAAGUCUAGAGUCCCGGAGAGGUUAGGGGAAUUCCGAGUGUAGCAGUGAAAUGCGCAGAUAUUCGGAGGAACACCAGUGGCGUAGGCGCCUAACUGGACGGGAACUGACGCUGAGGUACGAAAGCGUGGGGAGCAAACGGGAUUAGAAACCCUAGUAGUCC